AUACGUAGGGUGCAAGCGUUGUCCGGAUUUAUUGGGCGUAAAGGGCUCGUAGGCGGUCUGUCACGUCGGAUGUGCAAACUCGGAGCUCAACUCCGGGCCUGCAUCCGAUACGGGCAGACUAGAGUUCGGUAGGGGAGAUUGGAAUUCCUGGUGUAGCGGUUGAAUGCGCAGAUAUCAGGAGGAACACCGAUGGCGAAGGCAGAUCUCUGGGCCGAUACUGACGCUGAGGAGCGAAAGCGUGGGGAGCAAACAGGAUUAGAAACCCCAGUAGUCC
rnacentral:rRNA from 1 species